rnacentral:lncRNA from 1 species
UGCUUACAUCUUUGGGAGCCAGGAGGGCAAGCGCCCAGCGCCCAGCCCCAAAAACGAAAGCCCCCUUCUUACAUCUUUAGGAGCCAGAGCUCCGGCGCGCGCGCUCUAUUGUUUACAUCUUUAGGCAGCGAGCGAGCGCAGGGCGCGCAGAGCCAGAGAGAUGCCAGCGAGAGAGAAUGGCGGAAAACCCCGUCCCCUUUUUUAGGAGCGUUAUAUUUCGCCUAGGACGCAUCACUCCCUGAUUGGCUGCAGCCCAUGGCCGAGCUGACGUUCACGGGAAAGAGAGGAACCUGGCAUAACUGUCUCCUGAGAGGCUUCAUCCAGCAGCAAAUGAAGUCAGAUGCAGAGACCAACAGCCAAAUAUCACAUAGAGCCCAGGGACUUUUGUGGUGGAGUGGGAAAUAAAAGUGAGCAAACUGUAGAGAUCAAGACACCAUAUGAAGACCCACAGAGUCAACUAACCUGGGACCAUAGAGGCUCACAGAGAUGGGACCAACAACCAGGGAGCAUGCAAGAGCUGGGCCUAGCCCCUCUACACAUUUGUAGCAAUGUGCUGCUUGGAUUUCAUGUGGGUCCCUGAACAAGUGGAGCAAGUGGCUGUCUCAGCCUCUGGUUUUGAAAUUGGAUCUCCUUUCUCAUAUCUGAACUUCCUGGGUGGACUUCAGUGGCAAAGGAUGUGCCUAGUCCUAGUGGAAUUAAAUGUCACAGGGUUGAGUGGUACCCAAGAGGGGCUCCCCUUCUCUGAGAAGAAGGGGAGGAAGCAAUGAGGGGAGGGA